UCCCCAGUGGCACAAUCGGUUAGCGCGCCGUACUUAUAAUGCGGAGGUUGUGAGUUCGAGCCUCACCUGGGGAA
rnacentral:tRNA from 1 species